AAUCCAUAGGUUAAUGAGGCGAACCGGGGGAACUGAAACAUCUAAGUACCCCGAGGAAAAGAAAUCAACCGAGAUUCCCCCAGUAGCGGCGAGCGAACGGGGAGGAGCCCAGAGCCUGAAUCAGCAUGUGUGUUAGUGGAAGCGUCUGGAAAGGCGCGCGAUACAGGGUGACAGCCCCGUACACAAAAGCGCAUGUGCUGUGAGCUCGAUGAGUAGGGCGGGACACGUGGUAUCCUGUCUGAAUAUGGGGGGACCAUCCUCCAAGGCUAAAUACUCCUGACUGACCGAUAGUGAACCAGUACCGUGAGGGAAAGGCGAAAAGAACCCCGGCGAGGGGAGUGAAAAAGAACCUGAAACCGUGUACGUACAAGCAGUGGGAGCCCCACCACCAAAGCAUUUGCUGUACCGCGUUGACGGAGCGAAGCGACGUCAAACCGAUAAAACAGCAGUGUAAAGUG
rnacentral:rRNA from 2 species